rnacentral:rRNA from 1 species
AUGGCCCAUCAGCUAGUUGGUAGGUAAAGGCCGUUACCAAGGCUACGACGGGUCGCUGGUCUGAGAGGACGACCAGCCACACUGGCACUGAGAUACGGGCCAGACUCCUACGGGAGGCAGCAGUGAGGAAUAUUGCGCUAAUGGGGGAAACCCUGACGCAGCAACGCCGCGUGUGGGAAGAAGGCCUUCGGGUCGUAAACCACUUUUGCACGGGACGAAAAAGGGAUAUCGAACAAAUAUCCCCGAUGACGGUACCGUGAGAAUAAGCCACGGCUAAC